AAAAAAAAAAAAAAAAAAAAAAAAAAAUUUUUUUUUUUUUUUU
rnacentral:misc_RNA from 1 species